UACGAAGGGGGCUAGCGUUGCUCGGAAUCACUGGGCGUAAAGCGCACGUAGGCGGAUCGUUAAGUCAGGGGUGAAAUCCUGGAGCUCAACUCCAGAACUGCCUUUGAUACUGGCGACCUUGAGUUCGGGAGAGGUGAGUGGAACUGCGAGUGUAGAGGUGAAAUUCGUAGAUAUUCGCAAGAACACCAGUGGCGAAGGCGGCUCACUGGCCCGAUACUGACGCUGAGGUGCCAAAGCGUGGGGAGCAAACAGG
rnacentral:rRNA from 1 species